AAGGGGCACCACCAAGCAAGCGGCACCAUGAAAACCAAGGAGCUCUCCAAACAGCUCAUAGAGCUCCACAAACAGGUGGCAGAUAUUUUUAUGCAGAAUACUUUGGGCUGCACCUUCCUCCAUUAUGCAGUGGAGGUGAGCUGCAAGGAGAUUGACAAGUAAAUCAUAGACAACGCACCUACCACUCUCUUGGAUGUCACAGAAAAAGAGCCGGUGAGACGCUGAAGUGGCGUGCAAAGAAGGCCAAUGACCAGGAGCUGGCUGAGUACUUGGAGAACCGCCAGUACUACCAGAUGAUCCAACGAGAGGACCAGGAGACUGCUGUAUGAUGAUCCCACUAUUUACUGCAACCGCACCACACUCUCUCUCUGUCUCUCUCACUGUUUGCCAUACCUAACAAUAGAAAGCCCUGUACUGGAUUUGAGGGAGGAGGGAGGUGUCUUCCCUCUAACAGACCAGGCUGGCUACACUAUAGAAAUAGAAUGACUAUAUAAUUACUAUUACUAUGGGCUACACUACUAGUAUGGGUCAAAGUGUAGAGGUGAGGCAGGUCUUUCUUUCUUCCUCUUGCUAGUGAUGCUUCAGUUUGAAUAGAGUGUUGAGUGCUAUGUGUCAAGAGUGCAUGUAUGUUAACCGCUUUUCUUCUAUUAUGAAUGGGUCCAAGUCCUCUACACAGCAAGCGAAUGGAAACUAAAGGGCAAGUGAAAAAAAUAACAGCUUUUUGGGGUAUUUUCAGUAACUGGAUCUGAAUGUGGCUUCAUGAACCUUGUAUCUUUCUCCAUAUGCAAUGUAAAGGUAUUGUGUAAAGUUUCUGUCAUUGAAAGAGGUUGCUUUUAACCCCCUAGAGUGUAUUGAGGCACCGGUGCCUCAAUCUAAGUAACAUAAUAAAAAAAUCCCCAUCAAAAUCCACCAUUUUAAACUAGAGAUAUCUGUUUGUAUGGGCUGCAUAUUAAUACUGUGCUGUAUAUUUGCUCAUCAAGCCUGUUUACUACAGUUUAUUUUGAAAAAAGAAACCUUUUAACAUUGAUCGUCGCAGUUUCUGACUGUCACUACUUUACUUUCAAAAAUCUAUUUAGGGUUAUUUGAUACGUUUACGUUAGUUGAAGCCUGGGGAUUUUUGUUCAAUUGGCUCUUCUUUUCUUAGGUAAAUAGAACAAAGGGCAUCUGGGCACCUCAGAGUAGGAAUUUCCCUUUUUGAACAUAAUGAAUAAUAUUAUAUUGACAGAGGGUAACUCAUCUCGGAUCAGCACUCCUACUAAGACUAUUUGUGAAUACGAGCCCUGGGAUUAAUUGGGGACAUUUCUUGUGAUCAGCAAACGUUCACAGAUUAUUUAAUUGGUUGUUUCCUUACUUGAUGGCUGGUCUUUUCUUGGGUUGUAAAAUGGAGGACAACUUUGUAGGACUCAGCAGGGGAAGACUUCUUUCCACAAAUUGGCCUUCAUGUGACUUUUCCCAGCUUACCAACUGAAGGCUCCAAUAGCAACAGACCAACAAUGUCCCCCACGCAUGACUGAUCCAUUUCACCAUGAGGAGGGAACCGACAACCUUGGGUGAUGAUGGCAUUAAACUCUGCCCUGAGAAGCAACAGUCCACAAAGCCAAAAGAGAAAUAUAUAAGCUUCUGCUUUUUACAGCUUUAAUAGAUGUUUAA